UGCAAGAAGAGUCCUGUAUUGACUGGAAUUG
rnacentral:piRNA from 1 species